GCCCCGCCUUCCCCACGGCUUUCCGGAGUCCGCUUAAAGGAGCCGCGCAGAGGAGAGUGCACAGGUUGCUCGGGCGGUAAAAGAAGGCAGGUGCGUGUCCUGAAAUGCAUGAAGUACAUCCUAGUGGAGAGUGCACACACAGAAGGAAGCAGCUACUCAGCCAUGCGGCACUGUAACUCCUAGGAAGAAUCAAGGAUUUCUGCAGCAAGGAAAUUGGAUACGGAUGAGCACCAGGGAGGACACUGCUGGCCACUGAAGGGAAAGCCCAAUGUAGGCAGGAGGCCAGAAUGCGCCAACGAAGGAAGACUGAACACCAGAAGACAGAAAGUUCAGAACACUGAACACAGAAAGACUGAAGCCUGGGCUUUCAGGGGAUACAAUGACACAUAAAGCACAGACGGUGAGACCUGAGAGGAAGAAGAUAAAAGGAAGGCUGUGGAACCAGUGUGUUAAGAAAUCUCAUAGCUGACAAUUUGCUAGCAAAGAACAGGAUGCCUACAAAAUUCGUUAAGUGUCAGAUUUCACAGCUUCCUCUGCUCUGCCUAAAAAGGAAAACUCACAUCUUCAAGCUGUUACAAUAAAACUAUUGGCAGUAUGUAAAGUGA